CACUUCAUCUCCAGGCUACAGCCUAUCAUCCCCUGGAUACAGUCCUACUUCUCCCGGUUACAGUCCCACUUCACCUGGAUAUAGCCCGACUUCUCCCGGUUAUAGUCCCACUUCACCAACCUACAGCCCCAGUUCUCCUGGCUAUAGCCCAACAAGCCCUGCUUAUUCUCCUACAAGUCCUUCCUAUUCUCCCACCUCUCCUAGCUACAGCCCAACAUCUCCAAGCUAUAGCCCAACGUCCCCGAGCUACAGCCCGACAUCACCGAGCUACAGCCCCACUUCUCCGAGUUACAGCCCGACAUCGCCUGCUUAUAGCCCGACCUCGCCCGCGUAUAGCCCGACUUCACCUGCAUACAGCCCGACCUCUCCUUCUUACAGCCCAACAUCACCAUCUUACAGCCCAACAUCACCUUCUUACAGUCCUACUUCACCCUCCUACAGUCCCACUUCACCUUCUUACAGUCCUACUUCACCCGCAUACAGCCCUACGUCUCCUGGCUACAGCCCAACUUCACCAAGCUACAGCCCAACAUCACCUAGUUACGGUCCUACGUCUCCAAGCUACAACCCUCAGUCUGCUAAAUACAGCCCAUCUCUGGCUUACUCUCCUAGCAAUGCAAGACUAUCGCCAGCUAGCCCCUACAGUCCUACAUCUCCA
rnacentral:lncRNA from 1 species